rnacentral:rRNA from 1 species
UACGAAGGGUGCAAGCGUUACUCGGAAUUACUGGGCGUAAAGCGUGCGUAGGUGGUUUGUUAAGUCUGAUGUGAAAGCCCCGGGCUCAACCUGGGAAUUGCACUCAAAACUGGCAGACUAGAGUAUGUGAGAGGGGGGUAGAAUUCCAAGUGUAGCGGUGAAAUGCGUAGAGAUUUGGAGGAAUACCAGUGGCGAAGGCGGCCCCCUGGCACAAUACUGACGCUGAGGUGCGAAAGCGUGGGGAUCAAACAGGAUUAGAUACCCUGGUAGUCCACGCCGUAAACGAUGUCUACUAGCUGUUCGUGGUCUUGUACCGUGAGUAGCGCAGCUAACGCACUAAGUAGACCGCCUGGGGAGUACGGUCGCAAGAUUAAA